GGAAGGAUCAUCAUUCACCAAUAAGAGCAUGUAGGGGAGUUGAAAUACACUCUAUAUCAAACCUACAUACUCGUCAAUUGUAUUGAUCAUUUGUUGAUAUUGGCUAUGCAUGUAAGGUUGCAAUGUGUCUCACCGAGACCGCCACAAUGAGCCAUCAACUGGCGUAUUGCAAAUCCUGCUGCAUACUUACAGCUUCUGCGAAGCUAGUUGUAAGCAAAACUAUUUGAUGUUAACCAAAAUUUCAUGAAUUGAUUUCAUUGGUUGGCAAAUCUUUAUUUUCGCUGUAACACAGCGAUCAAACCGAGUAUAUCCCUUAACGAUGGAUGCCUCGGCUCGUGAAGCGAUGAAGGACGCAGCUAGGUGCGAUAAGCACUGUGAAUUGCUGAAUUCCGCGAACCAGUAGAUCUCUGAACGCAGUAUGCGCGAGAGGAUGUAUUUCUCUUGCAGAUGUGUGUCAGCGUUUUCUAUUAAAACAAUGCAGUCAAUGCUCAGUGAGACUUUAUGUUUCGAGUAUGUGAGGCACUUUCCUUACAAAUUACUUUCCAUAAAGGUUACCCUUUAUGAUAGAGGAUUCGGGUAUACCUUAUGAUUACCUGACGUAAUGGUCUAGUUGAAAAACAUUGGACCCAGAACUGAAAGGUAGGGUAAGGUACUAUGUCGACAAAUUGAACCUGACACACUUCAGGCAACCCGCUGAAUUUAAGCAUAUAAGUAAGCGGAGGAAAAGAUACUAACGAGGAUUCCCUCAGUAAUGGCGAAUGAACAGGGAAAAGCUCAAUGCCCAAUCAAUUACUUGUAAUUGACAUGUGGUAUGGUGGUUUACCAGUGAAGACUCUAACGUAAUUCCCUUGGAACAGGGAGCCUAAGAGGGUGAUAGCCCCGUUAAUCGUUAGAUGUUCAUCACGUACGGUUUCCAUUUAAUGAGUCGCGUUCCUUGGGAUUGGAGCGCAAAUAUGGGUGGUAAAUUCCAUCCAAGGCUAAAUAUGACCACGAGACCGAUAGAAAACAAGUACCAUGAGGGAAAGGUGAAAAGAGCUCUGAAAAGAGGGUUAAAAGUGCCUGAAAUCGUUAAGGGGGAAGCGAAUGUUUGCUGUUGCAGGUGUGACGAGGACUGCGCAAUUGCUGGAAGGGUUUGGUUGGUUACUUUGGGCAACUGAGUAGCUUAUCUCCUCUUUUCGCUUGAACGUGUUUCCUAGUCAUCUCCGUCAAUGCAACCUUUAGUUUAGGUAGUUAUUUUGGAACAGGGUAGUUAACUUCGGUUUUCAAUCCGUUUUGAAACAAUCCUAGAUUGGGGGUGAGGAUUCUCGUAUAAUUUACAAGUAGUUGUUGCCGUUUCUUUGGCUCGAUUCGUCGCUUGCGGUGAUUUGGGCUGCAGUCGUGGCAAUUAACCGUUUGCAAUUGUGCGAAAGGCAUUGAUCUCAACGGUGACAUUUGUCCCGUCUUGAAACACGGACCAAGGAGUCUAACCUGUUUGCGAGUCUAAGGGUGUCAAACCCACGGGCGAAAUGAAAGUGAUUGGAGUGAGUAUUGCCUUAGGGUGAUAUGAUACUCUGACCGACCUCGAUCUUCGGUGAGAGGUUUGAGUAUGAGCAUACCUGUUAGGACCCGAAAGAUGGUGAACUAUGCCUGAGUAGGGUGAAGCCAGGGGAAACUCUGGUGGAGGCUCGUAGCGAUACUGACGUGCAAAUCGUUCGUCAAACUUGGGUAUAGGGGCGAAAGACUAAUCGAACCAUCUAGUAGCUGGUUCCCUC
rnacentral:misc_RNA from 1 species